rnacentral:rRNA from 1 species
UACGUAGGGGGCGAGCGUUGUCCGGAAUCAUUGGGCGUAAAGAGCGUGUAGGCGGCUUGGCAAGUCUGACGUGAAAGCCCGCGGCUCAACCGCGGAUUGUCGUUGGAAACUGCCUCGCUAGAGUCCGGAAGAGGAGAGCGGAAUUCCUGGUGUAGCGGUGGAAUGCGCAGAUAUCAGGAGGAACACCGGUGGCGAAGGCGGGUCUCUGGGCCGAUACUGACGCUGAGAAGCGAAAGCGUGGGGAGCGAACAGG